AGGAGUGGCAAGUAAAGGGCUGUAGAAGAAGAAAUAUUUUUUUCUUGGUUGAUACCACAGCAAGGAAAAGACUGCAGAUUUGCUUUAGGAGGGGGAAGUCUGAUUCACCCUCAUUGUCACUCACUCCUGACUCUCCAUCUGAGUGCAGAGCUGUGGGACUGGAUCUCCCUGGGCUGCACUUGCCAUCCUGGAUGAAAAGACAGGGGCAACACCCAAAUUUUAUAAGCAAAGGAAGCAAGGGCCUAAAUAUUGACUUUCUUCAUCCGCUUGAGACAGGUGAAAAAAGAAAUAUCACUUCAGUGGAGAAGGGUGGUCUGUGGGUGAUCCUGUACAGUGGGCUUGUUGUUUCUCUCACUUUUGACAGCUUGCUUGCUUCCUCUCCUUGUGGGACUGUAUUUCAGUCAGUUUAAUGUUUUUGGCAGGAUGAUGGCUCUGGAGCCUGAUCCUCCUCCCCCCAGAGAAGCAGAGCAUCUCUCUCCUCCUCCAUCUAAGCCUCCCCAGCACAGCACUCCCAGCACCACCUCCUGCUCCAGGGGAAGCCCUUUGUCAGGGAAGGACCCACUUUCAAACAGCUGCACGGACCUGGGCGAUGCUGAUCAACAUCUGUAUCUGCAUCCUUCAGGGAUGAUGUUCCUGCAUUCUUCAGGGUUGAAGGAUCAUCCCUGGCCCUUUGGCUCCUCAUCCACCCCAGUGUUGUUGCUCAGACAGGCAUGCCAGCAAGGGCAGGCAUACAUUUCCCACCCCUUUCCCGAGUGCAGAGUUUGACAGCACAGUGAACCUGUCUCUGGGCUCUCUGGUACCGCAGCAAGAACACUUUGGCCAUGUGGCACUCACUCCACUGGUUUGAAUUUAUUUUAAUGGUUCUGACAGCCAACUUUGUAGCAGCAGCUUCUUCUGCCAGAUCAGAUAUUGUUUACCCAUCCUACUUUAACUUUAUGCCAUGUUCAAUAUCUUCUCUCCACACCAAGCUCACUUGAUGCCAAAUCAGGUAUCGUUUGUCCUCCCUCGGCCAGCACAGAGCAUAAAGCUGGCAUAUGUUCCCUGUAGUGCACUCUGGCUAAUUCAGCAGAAAUGUGAGCACAUGCCUGCACCUGAUCCAGACCUGUUCUUCCUGCUGAGUGGUCUGGUGGUGGAUCUGGCAGUCACUGCCAGGAGAGCACAGCCUCAGCACGCUCCGACAGCUGCCAGGAGCACCAAGCAUACCAUGGAAGCAGCUUCCAGCUGCCCCACACCCUGGCCAGAGCAGCUGGAGCACCUGGUGGCUGUAAAGAACACACUCUGUGACCCUGACAGAGGAAAAGCAGCAAAGUCCUACCUCCUCUAUGAAUGUGUUUAGAAACACUAAGUGAUCAAAGUCAACACCGUGUGAGCAGCGACUGAGUUACUCCCAUUGCCACGCAUUCCCGGUUUUGACAGACUGCAUCGUUUGGUGUGCUGAUGUAGAAGCAUUUCAUACACUAUGAAUAUUCACCGCGCAUAUUAAAUUAACCAGGUGAGAAACUACAGGUUUGUUUUGCAUGUUAACUCUGUGUUAACGCUGCCCCUAAGUGGUUAAGUUGGUUUAUUGCAAGUUAAUUAGCCCCUCAUUUCGGGCAGUUAUUUAUUUAUUUGUGGAAGACUUUUGUGGCUUUUUCUCUUCCAGCCUCAUGCUUAGACCUUGUCUCUCUGCCUAGUCUGUGUUUGCAUCCUACUCUAUGUGGGUUUCACAUAACCACAACAUUUACAGUCAACUCAGCUUGGAAAACACAUGUACGGGAAAACACGGGUGCCUACUACACAUUUACUACUCAAUCCAAGUGAGGCUGUGAUCCUGUUAACAGGCUUCUCUCCCUCAGCUCGUUUUAAUUAGCAUUUCAAGGGAUGCUUGGUACUGCAAGCCGGUGAAGUCUGAAGUUAUGAUGGGCUGCCUUUUACAUCUUUUCUCCUUAAUCAAUGUGCCAUUUCAUGAACAUUUCAUCACCUGGGCAAGCCUUUUCUCAGGUGCCUUGAUAUUCAUCCUUAUGUUCCCAUCCUUCUGCAUGGAUCCACACAAUGUGCCAAGAUCACACCUUCUCCUCUUGGGGCAGCUGGUUGCUAUUGGAGAGGUGUGUGGGUGUGGGCACACUAAUAAGAGCAGCUCAAGCUUCCUAUGAGGCCUUGAGUUUCCCUUCUUCACAGUGUGGGCUCCUCCACCUGCCCCGUGGGGAGGAAGAGGUGAGGAAGGAAGACAGCUCUAUGCAGUUUACUGGCUCUGAGAGGCCUCACACCAACAGAGGAGACUCGACAAAGCCUCCAACCGAACAACUGCAGAGCUUCCUGACAUGCUAGGCUCCAAGGAGCCUUUUAAAAUUUUUAGUUGCUUCCAGACUGUGGAUGGGGAGCUUGGGACUGCUCCCCAGUUUGGUUCUCAGUGACCAAACUGCCUCCCAGGGCACAUUAAGUGGGUGACCAUUGUGAUAUCCUCAAAGUCCAAACUUCUUUGGCUCCUUGCUUCAUUAGAGAGCUGAGUCAGACAGGUCAAAGCAGAUUUUCGGUUCUAAAGUUCUUCAGCUCCUUUUGGGAUGGUGUGGAGCAAAAGCGCACCUUGGUGCUGACCCUGCCUCAUCCUUGGGGGUUGGGGUCCAGACAGGUAGGGUUAAGCCAGCAGCAGGCGGAGUCCUUGCACACUGGGCUUGCACCUCCAGGGACCUGGAAGUAAUUCACAGUAGAGCCUCUAUCUGAGGAAAGCAAACCCAGUCAAUAUUGCGGUAGCAGAUGCCUGCAUGUCUGCACUGCACCAGGCAGGCAGCACAGCCAUCCAUCCCAGUUCGGGCUGUGUUGGCAGCACAGGCAGAGAAAGGUGAGAAAGAGCAGAGGCAGUACAGCUCAGGAUACCUGGAUAUACUGGCAGAAUCUCUCUCUUGAUUAUCAGCCUCUUCUCUCCAUAAGCUCUAAAAUUCAUAUCUAAGACACCAUAAAAACUGAAGAGCGGUGAAUCUUCAGGAAGGUCUCCAGGCUUUGGCAGAGAGCACGAGCUGCUUUUCCAUCAUGCCAGCACCGCCCUUCACCUUGAAUGAGCGGCAUUUGUCUCCUAUCGCCUUCCCUCGUGAAAGUGCAGACCGGAGCCCGGGGGGGCGUUUCGAGUGCCUUGAGCUCGAUGCAGCCCCCUCCUCGCAUCGCAUCCUAGUGCCGGGGCUCGGAGGGAGACAUCUGGCCUUGCAAAGCAGGGGCUGGGGAGCGCAAUGGGGGCGAGCAGGCAUCCGUCCUUUUCCCAGUGCCCUGCUCCUGCCGCCGAGAGCUGCCUGCAUCCUGGCCUUGCGCAGCGCGGUUGGACAUGGAGUUAAGGAGUCCAGACGCUGGGAUGCGAAAGGAGCCGUGACUGUGUGAGAGGAGCUCGCUCAUCUUAAAGGGGCUUUGGGAGGGCAAUGAUAGUGGCACAUUUAUAGGAUCCCACUGCUUCUUAAAAACCUGCGGCCGCAUCUGUUUGGUGCUGUGUUUUCAGUCGGAGCUGGGAAAAGUCUGCAUAAAAACUCAAGGACUACCUUAAAUACCCCCUAACCAAGCCUUCUUAAAACUCCUAUUAAAAUACGAACACCGCAGUCAAGACGGCAGGCUGGAGGUCUGCCCAGUGGCCAAAUAAAUCAAAAUAUUCCAGAUAUCCUGUUUGCAAACGCCCAUUAAAGCCUGACAACUGCUUAAUACCAAAGGCAGCGUGGAUCUGAAAGAUAGGGAAAACGUGACCCUUCCUGCAAAGCAGCCCGGGUUUAUUUCUUCCCCUUUCAAAGCAGAGCUUCGCUGCUUCAGUUCUGUCCUUUUUCCCAGGGGGUGCAGAAAAGGGUUGCCGGUGGUCUGGCGAGCUGCUCAGGGCUGCCAGGUUGCGAGGGCUGGGGGUUGUGUAGCCACGGCCCCUCAGACCCCCAGCCCCACGGCCAGCACUGGCCACCAAACAGUGUCUGCCAGGGACCUCCCUGCCCAGGACUGCGGCCAAGCCUGGUGUCAGGGUUCAGGUCGGGGUGAAAAACAGCCAUUUAUCUGCGUUUGCAGCCCGAUGACGUCCGCAGGCACUUUCCGUGCUCUUUAUCUGUUUUCUCAAAUAAAUUAAUAAAUAAGAGGCGGAGAGGCUGGAAAUAAGGACAGAGAAAAUGAACAGAUUUUGAUCUAGUAAGCAAUUUAAAUCUGGGCUGGCAAGCUGCGUUCGUUCAUUCAUUAAUUCAGCCUUGUGCUCAGAAAACCCCAGCAGGACUCUCUUCCAGCGCAAGAACUUCCGACUGUGAAAUAAACCCCGCGUAACCAGAUUAACUAUGAGGUAUGUAUCAGCCAGGUCUUAGGCAUUAAUUCAAGCAUACUGCACAUCUCCAGAGCUUGAUUUCUGGAUCAGGUGUUGCUCACUGGAGGGCAUAAACUCUCUGAAGUUUCCUGUCUUCCACCUCCCCCUGUAUUGCUGUUCCCUGCUCAAUAAAUAAAAAAAUAUUAUUA